AAUACCGGAUAACAACACUAGACGCAUGUCUAGAGUUUGAAAGAUGGUUCUGCUAUCACUCUUGGAUGGACCUGCGGUGCAUUAGCUAGUUGGUAAGGUAACGGCUUACCAAGGCAAUGAUGCAUAGCCGAGUUGAGAGACUGGUCGGCCACAUUGGGACUGAGACACGGCCCAAACUCCUACGGGAGGCAGCAGUAGGGAAUCUUCCACAAUGGACGAAAGUCUGAUGGAGCAACGCCGCGUGAGUGAAGAAGGGUUUCGGCUCGUAAAGCUCUGUUGGUAGUGAAGAAAGAUAGGGGUAGUAACUGGCCUUUAUUUGACGGUAAUUACUUAGAAAGUCACGGCUAACUACGUGCCAGCAGCCGCGGUAAUACGUAGGUGGCAAGCGUUGUCCGGAUUUAUUGGGCGUAAAGCGAGUGCAGGCGGUUCAAUAAGUCUGAUGUGAAAGCCUUCGGCUCAACCGGAGAAUUGCAUCAGAAACUGUUGAACUUGAGUGCAGAAGAGGAGAGUGGAACUCCAUGUGUAGCGGUGGAAUGCGUAGAUAUAUGGAAGAACACCAGUGGCGAAGGCGGCUCUCUGGUCUGCAACUGACGCUGAGGCUUGAAAGCAUGGGUAGCGAACAGGAUUAGAUACCCUGGUAGUCCAUGCCGUAAACGAUGAGUGCUAAGUGUUGGGAGGUUUCCGCCUCUCAGUGCUGCAGC
rnacentral:rRNA from 1 species